UAAAAGCUUGGUCCUGGCUUUACUGUCAUCUUUAACUAAACUUACACAUGCAAGUCUCCGCACCCCUGUGAGGAUGCCCUCAGUUUCCUGAUCGGAAACAAGGAGCUGGUAUCAGGCACACCUUUAUCCGUAGCCCACAACACCUUGCUCAGCCACACCCCUAAGGGAAUUCAGCAGUGAUAAAUAUUAAGCAAUAAGUGAAAACUUGACUUAGUUAAAGUUAUUUUUAGGGUCGGUAAACCUCGUGCCAGCCACCGCGGUUAUACGAGGGACCCAAGCUGACAGAUAUCGGCGUAAAGAGUGGUUACGGAAAAUUAUUACUAAAGUUAAACACCCCUUAAGCUGUUAUACGCAUAGAGAGGCAGGAUACCCAACCACGAAAGUGACUUUAAUAUGCCCGAACCCACCUAAGCUAUGAAACAAACUGGGAUUAGAUACCCCACUAUGCAUAGCCGUAAACUUUGAUAGUAUUAUACAUCCACUAUCCGCCCGGGAACUACGAGCGCCAGCUUCAAACCCAAAGGACUUGGCGGUGCUUCAGACCCACCUAGAGGAGCCUGUUCUAGAACCGAUAAUCCCCGUUCAACCUCACCACCCCUGGCCAAUCCCGCCUAUAUACCACCGUCGUCAGCUUACCCUUUGAAGGCUUAAUAGUAAGCAAAAUAGGCACUGCCCUAAACGUCAGGUCGAGGUGUAGCGCAUGAGGUGGGAAGAAAUGGGCUACAUUCUCUAUGAUAGAGAACACGGAAGGUAUAAUGAAAUAAAUACCCGAAGGCGGAUUUAGCAGUAAGAAGAAAAAAUGAGCGUUCUUCUGAAGCUGGCUCUGAAGCGCGCACACACCGCCCGUCACUCUCCCCUAAAACAUAUACACUUAGUACAUAAAAACUUUUUUUAAAAAGGGGAGGCAAGUCGUAACAUGGUAAGUGUACCGGAAGGUGUACUUGGAUAAAU
rnacentral:ncRNA from 1 species